GCAGACCGUCGCCAUAGCAACCGGAGACACUCGCAUUGGCCUGCGGCAACAAGGGGAGAGGAGUUCCUGUUGUUUAGGCCUUUGUGACCCAGUGCUUAUGUUCCGAAGACUAUACUUUGACAUCCCGUCUUCUCCAGGCCCCCACUUCCUCCCUGUUAAGGAAGAUUAGCCCUGAGCUAACAUCUACCGCCAAUCCUC